rnacentral:lncRNA from 1 species
AUGGGGACUAAAAAUCCUAAAUCGCAUCCGAGCGAUACCGGGAUACAGAAAUACCCGAACUGGGAGGUGCCCACCCUGAGUAUCCUAGUCCGUGCAGGAACGACAGCCCUCCCAGGCAGGCGGCCGGGACUCGGAGGGCAGGCAGGUGGGGUGCUGCCUCCGCUGCGGGAGUCGCCCGGCCCCGGCCCCGGCCCCGGCCCCGGGAGGGCUGUGUGCUCCACGCACACCAUCCACGGACCCCAAGUGUGGCCUGGGGAGUCGAGGGUGGGGGUGGCCACUUCUCCCCCGCCCGUCUCUUACCUGAUUCAGGUAAGACCUGGGCUACAAGACUCCAUGUUUGGGGAAAACGGUUGUGCAUGCGCGUCCUGCGGCCAGAGGUUGUGGGCCUUGCCCCAGGCCCCAGGGAGGACCCGGCCGAGCCACCGAAAACCCGGCUAUGGGCUAGAGCGUCGUCACCUCCGUGCACCGGCGGGUCGCCCCCAGCCCGACAUGUACAGCCACCUUCUCCCUGCCGGGCGUCAGCGCCACCUAUUGGAAAGGGUAUGAAAUGGCAGGCUGUGCCAUUGAGAAGGGUCUACUGGAUCGGAUAAAGGAGAAUGAACUUUUACGGGGCUUCAUCUUUUAUGUGAUAAACUGAAGGCCCAAGAACAGAUAUUUGGGUAGAGGUAGAUGUCUUUGGUGAGCCUUCCAUAUCUCAGCCAUUCAUAGCGCCUAACGGCUCACAAUACCCUAAGGGUUCCCCAGUCUACAUCUCCAGCUGUAUCCUCUACUUCAAACUCAGAUGCACAUUAUUUCCCUGCUUUCUGUUCUCCUUCACAGGAAUGGUGCACACACAUCCAAUACUCAACAAGGGCUAGGUCAAAUUCACUAUCCUUCCUCCAUGUCCUCCUUCCCACUCUACAAAUGGACUCCCAAGAACCCGGACUUCCUUCUAUAUUCUCUAUCUUGGUUAAUGACAUUACCAUCUACUCCAGUCUCCCACACACGAUCACCAAUACCUGGGGCAUAAUGGAAUGAGGCUUAAAAGCCUGGCAGCUUUGGGGAUAGAUGCCAGCACGUUCCUUCCUUCCCCUUCAUUUCCAUCUUACUUCCCGAGUGUCUCUUGAAUUCAUCUGGCUCCCCUCUGUUCCUACCACCAUUUGCUCUUGUUCAGGCCUCAUUAUCGUUCACUUGGACUACUGCUUCUAAUUGGUUUCCAGGUCUCCACCAUCAUAUCUUUCUAAUCCAUUAUUCACACAGUUGCCAGGGAUUUUUACCUGCUUCCCUAUUGCCAAUGCUAAAUUCAAACUCUUUAGCCUGCCAUGCAAAACAUUACAAAAUCUGGUCCUUCCCCUAGAAUCUUCUCUCAAACCAUUCCCACCUAUCCCAUCCCCACCCCCAAACUUCAUAAUCUAACCAAACAUUACUAAUUGUAGUUCCUCCCAAACACUGUGGGUUUCCUUUCCCCAUGUUCUCCAUGCACACAUAUUCUUUCUCCCUACAAAAUAUAUCUUUCCCCACUUUGCUACCUAAAAAUUUCAUUCCUCAAAACUCAACUUAGUUGUCACAUCCUCUUGCAAGCCUUUCCUGAAAUCUUCCCACAGAGAUAAUCACACUCUUCUUUGUGAUAUCUGCAUCCCUUGCACACACUUCAACAGUUGCACUUACCACACCAUAUUGUGAUGACACUAGCAUCUCUCUCGUCUCUCCCUCCACACUGCUGAGCUCCUUGAGGACAAGGACAGCAUCUUGUUCAUUUCUGAUUCCCUUGUGCCAAUCCAGCAUUUUCUAAUAAUGAUAAGAAUGAAUAAGGCACACAUUUGUUGAUCAGUAUGUGCCAGACUAUGCUAAACUCUCUCUCUCUCUCUCUCUCUCUAUAUAUAUAUAUAUAUAUAUAAUUUAAUUCUAACACAUAAAAAGAACUGUUAUUGUCCUUAUUUUACCAAUGAGACAAUUGAGGCUUUGAAAGUUUGUGGAACUCAAAUGAUAUAUGAAAAAUCAUUUUUAAAAAGUAUCAUUUAGAUCAUUUUUAAAAAGUAUCAAUACUUACAGAGUUAGUUUAAUUUUUAAAGGGAAAACACACAACUAUUCUACAGUAGUGGAUAGAAACAGACUGUUUUAAUUUAAAGUAAUGGUACAGAAGGCCAAAUAAAUACCCUUGAUGUCAAGUGAAAUAAAAAAAC